UGUUGUGCAAAUAGACUAGCAGAAUUUGAUAAAAUAAAAGAUAAAUGCUGUUUUAAACAGAGGUUUUUCACUACAAUCUCUACUAGAUCAAAGGAUAAUUGUUUUCUGUUAGCAAACAAAAACGUUGCUUUUAUUAGAGAAAUAAAAAAUUGUGGAAAAUAUGUAUGUGAUGUGGUGAAAAUUUGUGAUAUAGAUAAUAUAUUUACCUCACCAGCAGAAUCCAAAAUAUUUCAGAUUGGUGUUGUUCAUAGUUUUACUAGAGCAAUGAGAAGAAUUGUGGAAAGACAUGAACUUCAAAAAAAAGUUGUGUCACUUCCAUACAAAGGAGGUUAUGCUCUAUUCCCAAUGCUUCAUGAUGCUGAACAGUAAUAGCGCUAUGGUUUAUCUUUGAACUGCAAAAAAUGGAUGCGUGCAGUUUGGUUAGAGAGAAGUACCGAGGAAGAGAGAGUCAUACCGAGCGCUUGGGUAGUUGGUGAUUUUGUAUGGUGGCCUUCAGGCGUAAAUGUUAUGAAAGCCUUUUAUUAGAGAGACCAACCAACAAAUGAUUGGCUAAAAUUUAAGUUGUUAAAAAUUAAAUUUUCAUCAGGUUAGAAGAAUUGCUAAAGUUGGUGGUGUGAAUGUAAAAGAAAAUAUUGCAAAUGUUUUAAAUAGAUCUACUGAAGAUGGAACUUGUCUUUAUAGUUCAGUAUCUUUGAUUUUAAAUGACAAUAAUCAUACUUCAAAAAUUCUAAGAUUACUGACAUCAAUUGAGUUAUUUGAAAACAUAAACUUUUACACAAGGCUGAUGAAUAAUCAUCUGAUGAGUGAUUUCAAUAUGAAGGGUAAGCAUAGAAAGCAGCCCUUUGGUGUUACUUGCCUUUAUAAAAUAAUAAAAACAAACGCUCUUAAUUUAAACAAUUGCAAUGAGAAGGAUGUCGACGAUGCCAUUUCAAAACACCUUAGCAUGCGCCAAAGAGAAAAGGUGGACGUAAAUUCACCGAAAAAAAUGUUUUAUAACGAUAUUUUGAAAUGUUUAUGUAACGUAUUUGUUUAUAAAUGUAUUAAAAUACAGUUAUAUUUUUAGUCAAUAUAUAUUUCU